rnacentral:tRNA from 1 species
UGGCUCAGAUGGUAAAGCGUCUGCCUACAAUGCAGGAGACCCAGGUUUGAUCCCUGG